UACGUAGGGGCCUAGCGUUGUCCGGAAUUAUUGGGCGUAAAGAGCUCGUAGGCGGUUUGUCGCGUCGGGAGUGAAAACACGGGGCUUAACCCCGUGCCUGCUUCCGAUACGGGCAGACUAGAGGUAUGCAGGGGAGAACGGAAUUCCUGGUGUAGCGGUGAAAUGCGCAGAUAUCAGGAGGAACACCGGUGGCGAAGGCGGUUCUCUGGGCAUUACCUGACGCUGAGGAGCGAAAGUGUGGGGAGCGAACAGG
rnacentral:rRNA from 1 species